rnacentral:rRNA from 1 species
CUCAGAAAUUAUUAAGAGUAUUGUCUGCCCAGUGACUGAUUGGUUUAACGGCCGCGUAUUAGUGCUAAGGUAGCAUAAUAAUUUGCCUUUUCAUUGAAGGCUAGUAUGAAUGGCAUAACGAAGCUUAACUGUCUCUAACUAUAACAAAAAAAUUAGUCAAAAAGUGAAAAAACUUUUUUAUUAUUGAAGGACGAAAAGACCCUAUAGAGCUUUAAUAUAAUUAGUAAAUAAAGUUUAAAAAAUAAAACUAUAUUAACUUAUAUAUUUUUAUUGGGGCAAUAGAAAAAAAAUUUAAUACACAACUUUGUGAUAACAAACAAAAAAAACCUCAAAGAGAAUAAAUACAAGCUACCUUAGGGAUAACAGCGUAAUCUUACCAGAGAGACCUAAUCAAAGGAAAGGUUUACGACCUCGAUGUUGGACUAAGAAAUCCCAAAGGUGCAGAAGCCUUUGAAAGCUGGCCUGUUCGGCCAUUAA